rnacentral:rRNA from 1 species
GACGACGCUGGCGGCGUUGGGAUUAGGCAUGCAAGUCGAACGGUAGGAGUACCUUCGGGUAUCUGAGAGUGGCGAACGGGUGAGUAACACGUAGGUGAUCUAACCCUCAAGGAUUUAGGGGACAAACCCAGGGGAAACUUUGGGCUAAUACCGGAAUGAAAGCAGCAGUGAUGUUGUUUGAAAGGUGGCGUAAGCUGCCGUUUGGGGGAUGAGCCUGCGCUCUAUUAGUUAGUUGGCGGGGUAAAGGCCCACCAAGGCGAUGAUAGAUAGGCGGCCUUAACGGGUGGUCGCCCACACUGGGAUUGAGAUACGGCCCAGACUCCUACGGGAGGCAGCAGUCGAGAAUAGUCUACAAUGGCCGAAAGGCUGAUAGUGCGACGCCGCGUGAACGAAGAAGCCCUUCGGGGUGUAAAGUUCUUUUAUAUGUGAGCAGUGCUUUCUAUGUGAACAGCAUGGGGAGAGAGAUAUUAGCAUAUGAAUAAGCAACGGCUAACUCCGUG